rnacentral:rRNA from 1 species
UAAAAAAAGGUAAGCUACUAAGAGCGAAUGGUGGAUGCCUUGACUGGUAAAGGCGAUGAAGGACGUACUAGACUGCGAUAAGCUACGGGGAGCUGUCAAGAAGCUUUGAUCCGUAGAUUUCCGAAUGGGGCAACCCAAUGUAUAGAGAUAUACAUUACCUAUAUAGGAGCGAACGAGGGGAAUUGAAACAUCUUAGUACCCUCAGGAAAAGAAAUCAAUAGAGAUUGCGUCAGUAGCGGCGAGCGAAAGCGCAAGAGGGCAAACCCAGUGCUUGCACUGGGGGUUGUAGGACUGCAAUGUGCAAGAGCUGAGUUUAGCAGAACAUUCUGGAAAGUAUAGCCAUAGAGGGUGAUAGUCCCGUAUGCGAAAAACAAAGCUUAGCUAGCAGUAUCCUGAGUAGGGCGGGACACGAGGAAUCCUGUCUGAAUCCGGGUCGACCACGAUCCAACCCUAAAUACUAAUACCAGAUCGAUAGUGCACAAGUACCGUGAGGGAAAGGUGAAAAGAACUGAGGUGAUCAGAGUGAAAUAGAACCUGAAACCAUUUGCUUACAAUCAUUCAGAGCACUAUGUAGCAAUACAGUGUGAUGGACUGCCUUUUGCAUAAUGAGCCUGCGAGUUGUGGUGUCUGGCAAGGUUAAGCAAACGCGAAGCCGUAGCGAAAGCGAGUCUGAAUAGGGCGCUUAGUCAGAUGCUGCAGACCCGAAACGAAGUGAUCUAUCCAUGAGCAAGUUGAAGCUAGUGUAAGAACUAGUGGAGGACUGAACCCAUAGGCGUUGAAAAGCCCCGGGAUGACUUGUGGAUAGGGGUGAAAGGCCAAUCAAACUUCGUGAUAGCUGGUUCUCUCCGAAAUAUAUUUAGGUAUAGCGUUGUGUCGUAAUAUAAGGGGGUAGAGCACUGAAUGGGCUAGGGCAUACACCAAUGUACCAAACCCUAUCAAACUCCGAAUACCUUAUAUGUAAUCACAGCAGUCAGGCGGCGAGUGAUAAAAUCCGUCGUCAAGAGGGAAACAACCCAGACUACCAGCUAAGGUCCCUAAAUCUUACUUAAGUGGAAAACGAUGUGAAGUUACUUAAACAACCAGGAGGUUGGCUUAGAAGCAGCCAUCCUUUAAAGAAAGCGUAAUAGCUCACUGGUCUAGUGAUUUUGCGCGGAAAAUAUAACGGGGCUAAAGUAA